rnacentral:rRNA from 1 species
CGGACGGGUGAGUAAUGUCUGGGAAACUGCCUGAUGGAGGGGGAUAACUACUGGAAACGGUAGCUAAUACCGCAUAACGUCGCAAGACCAAAGAGGGGGACCUUCGGGCCUCUUGCCAUCGGAUGUGCCCAGAUGGGAUUAGCUAGUAGGUGGGGUAACGGCUCACCUAGGCGACGAUCCCUAGCUGGUCUGAGAGAAUGGCCAGCCACACUGGAACUGAGACACGGUCCAG